rnacentral:rRNA from 1 species
UCUUGACAUCCACGGAAUUUAGCAGAGAUGCUUUAGUGCCUUCGGGAACCGUGAGACAGGUGCUGCAUGGCUGUCGUCAGCUCGUGUUGUGAAAUGUUGGGUUAAGUCCCGNAACGAGCGCAACCCUUAUCCUUUGUUGCCAGCGGUUCGGCCGGGAACUCAAAGGAGACUGCCAGUGAUAAACUGGAGGAAGGUGGGGAUGACGUCAAGUCAUCAUGGCCCUUACGAGUAGGGCUACACACGUGCUACAAUGGCGUAUACAAAGAGAAGCGACCUCGCGAGAGCAAGCGGACCUCAUAAAGUACGUCGUAGUCCGGAUUGGAGUCUGCAACUCGACUCCAUGAAGUCGGAAUCGCUAGUAAUCGUGGAUCAGAAUGCUACGGUGAAUACGUUCCCGGGCCUUGUACACACCGCCCGUCACACCAUGGGAGUGGGUUGCAAAAGAAGUAGGUAGCUUAACCUUCGGGAGGGCGCUUACCACUUUGUGAUUCAUGACUGGGGUGAAGUCGUAACAAGGUAAGCGUAGAUGA